rnacentral:rRNA from 1 species
GACGAACGCUGGCGGCGUGCCUAAUACAUGCAAGUAGAACGCUGAAGGAGGAGCUUGCUUCUCUGGAUGAGUUGCGAACGGGUGAGUAACGCGUAGGUAACCUGCCUGGUAGCGGGGGAUAACUAUUGGAAACGAUAGCUAAUACCGCAUAAUAGUAGAUGUUGCAUGACAUUUGCUUAAAAGGUGCAAUUGCAUCACUACCAGAUGGACCUGCGUUGUAUUAGCUAGUUGGUGAGGUAACGGCUCACCAAGGCGACGAUACAUAGCCGACCUGAGAGGGGGGUCGGCCACACUGGGACUGAGACCAGGCCCAGACUCCUACGGGAGGCAGCAGUAGGGAAUCUUCGGCAAUGGACGGAAGUCUGACCGAGCAACGCCGCGUGAGUGAAGAAGGUUUUCGGAUCGUAAAGCUCUGUUGUAAGAGAAGAACGAGUGUGAGAGUGGAAAGUUCACACUGUGACGGUAUCUUAACAGAAAGGGACGGCUAACUACGUG